AUGACGUUUGCCACCCAUGACCUGCUGUAUAUCACUGGAUACAGUAAUUGUGGAAGCCACCUUCGACUGUUCUUGCAAAGAAGAGCAACAAAUAGAAGGGCUUUCCCACGCAGAAUGUCAGUUCCCUGUUCUAUCAGAGAAAUAAGUCCAGGGACCAACUGUUUCUCCUCGUUCAGAAGAUUCAGACUUAUCUGUUGCUCACGUGGAUUGCCCUUGAGGAGUGUGCAUGCAAUAUCCUUAAAUGUUAGCUUCUCCAGUAUUAAAUGA
rnacentral:rRNA from 1 species